GAUGAACGCUGGCGGCGUGCCUAAUACAUGCAAGUUGUGCGGUAACAGAGAGAGCUUGCUCUCUGCUGACGAGCGGCGGACGGCAGAGUAACGCGUAGGAACAUACCCCAAACUGAGGGAUAACUGCUCGAAAGAGUAGCUAAUACCGCAUGUGGUCUUCGGAUUAAAGCUUCGGCGGUUUGGGAGUGGCCUGCGUCCGAUUAGCUAGUUGGUGAGGUAAUUGCUCACCAAGGCGACGAUCGGUAGCUGGUCUGAGAGGAUGAUCAGCCUGACUGGAACUGAGAACGGUCCAGACUCCUACGGGAGGCAGCAGUAGGGAAUUUUCCACAAUGGGCGAAAGCCUGAUGGAGCAACGCCGCGUGCAGGAUGAAUGCCUUCGGGUUGUAAACUGCUUUUCUGUGUGAAGAAUAUGACGGUAACACAGGAAUAAGGGUCGGCUAACUACGUGCCAGCAGCCGCGGUAA
rnacentral:rRNA from 1 species